UAGGGAAUAUUGGACAAUGGGCGCAAGCCUGAUCCAGCCAUGCCGCGUGAGUGAAGAAGGCCCUCGGGUUGUAAAGCUCUUUUGUCCGGAAAGAAAAGCUUUGGGUUAAUACCCCGAAGUCCUGACGGUACCGGAAGAAUAAGCACCGGCUAACUUCGUGCCAGCAGCCGCGGUAAUACGAAGGGUGCAAGCGUUACUCGGAAUUACUGGGCGUAAAGCGUGCGUAGGUGGUUCGUUAAGUCUGAUGUGAAAGCCCUGGGCUCAACCUGGGAAUGGCAUUGGAUACUGGCGGGCUAGAGUGCGGUAGAGGGCAGUGGAAUUCCCGGUGUAGCAGUGAAAUGCGUAGAGAUCGGGAGGAACAUCUGUGGCGAAGGCGACUGCCUGGACCAGCACUGACACUGAGGCACGAAAGCGUGGGGAGCAAACAG
rnacentral:rRNA from 1 species